rnacentral:lncRNA from 1 species
CCAGGUGAUCGCCGCUGGGCGGUUCUGAUGCGUGACUUAUGGUAGCUACCUGAUGUGUAACUCCAAGUCUUCCUGCUUCAACCCAGGGAUAAAAAUACGCACCCCGCCCUCUUCUGCCCGUAACCCUUUGUCUUCCCGUACAGGCCGUUACUGUAAAGCGAGGUGGAGAUUCGGGAUGCAAAGACGAGGGAGAAGCUGUGCUUCCUGGACAAGGUAGAGCCUCAGGCCACCAUUUCUGAAAUCAAGACCCUUUUCACCAAGACACACCCGCAGUGGUAUCCUGCCCGCCAGUCCCUCCGCCUGGACCCCAAGGGGAAGUCCCUGAAAGAUGAAGAUGUGUUGCAGAAGCUUCCUGUGGGCACCACAGCUACGCUCUACUUCCGGGACCUCGGGGCCCAGAUCAGCUGGGUGACGGUCUUCCUGACGGAGUAUGCUGGGCCCCUUUUCAUCUACCUGCUCUUCUACUUCCGGGUGCCCUUCAUUUAUGGCCGCAAAUACGACUUUACAUCCAGUCGGCAUACUGUGGUGCACCUCGCCUGCAUGUGCCACUCCUUCCACUACAUCAAGCGCCUGCUGGAGACUCUCUUCGUGCACCGAUUCUCUCACGGAACCAUGCCCCUGCGAAACAUCUUCAAAAACUGCACCUACUACUGGGGCUUUGCUGCGUGGAUGGCUUAUUACAUCAACCACCCUCUCUACACACCCCCUA